rnacentral:tRNA from 1 species
UAAAGAAAGACAUAUUGGAUAUGAGGUUGGCUUGAAACUAAUCUGAGAGGGUUCAAUUCCUUCCUUUCUUGUU